GGCCGUCUGCGCGAGUUCCUGCAAUGCGACGCCGAUGUCGUCGGGAUUGCAGGCCCGCAGGCCGAAGCUGAGCUGAUGCAGCUGGCGGCCG
rnacentral:tRNA from 1 species